UUCUGUGUAUGCAUGGACCAGGAGGGGCCUGAGAGCGGCAGGGCCGAACCAGGGAAGUUGCAGUUGGUUACCUCCCGACAAGUCAGCUCUGUUGCACAUGCGUUGCUGAACAACUAGCCAUCCCAUGACUUCCACUUCUGGUUAUGAAAGGUAUAGCUCCAAAUCCGUCCAUUGGCCCACGUUCUGGAGACGAGCCUGCCAUUGUCAUACUCCAGCUUCUCAGACCAGUUCCCCCGCUGAAUGGUGCUGACAAGGCCAGCUGGCGAAGAUAGAGGUCGCCACGCACCCUCAGCCUGCGCUCAUAGGCCGUGUGGUUGCCCUUGGCCUGCUCCCUCCUCUGCCUCCACUCGAUGAGGCUAGGAGCGUGCUCGCUGGGCAGCGUGAUGUUGCACUUUCCCAC